rnacentral:rRNA from 1 species
AUACGGAGGAUACAAGCGUUAUCCGGAUUUAUUGGGUUUAAAGGGUGCGCAGGCGGACUAAUAAGUCAGAGGUGAAAUUUUGCUUAGCUUAACUGUAAACGUGCCUUUGAUACUGUUAGACUAGAGUUUAAGGGACGUAACCGGAAUGUGAUGUGUAGCGGUGAAAUGCAUAGAUAUGUCACAGAACGCCGAUCGUGAAGACAGGUUACGAACUUAAUACUGACGCUCAGGCACGAAAGCGUGGGGAUC